GAUGAACGCUGGCGGCGUGCCUAAUACAUGCAAGUCGAGCGAACGGACGAGAAGCUUGCUUCUCUGAUGUUAGCGGCGGACGGGUGAGUAACACGUGGAUAACCUACCUAUAAGAUUGGGAUAACUUCGGGAAACCGGAGCUAAUACCGGAUAAUAUUUUGAACCGCAUGGUUCAAAAGUGAAAGACGGUCUUGCUGUCACUUAUAGAUGGAUCCGCGCUGCAUUAGCUAGUUGGUAAGGUAACGGCUUACCAAGGCAACGAUGCAUAGCCGACCUGAGAGGGUGAUCGGCCACACUGGAACUGAGACACGGUCCAGACUCCUACGGGAGGCAGCAGUAGGGAAUCUUCCGCAAUGGGCGAAAGCCUGACGGAGCAACGCCGCGUGAGUGAUGUAGGUCUUCGGAUCGUAAAACUCUGUUAUUAGGGAAGAACAUAUGUGUAAGUAACUGUGCACAUCUUGACGGUACCUAAUCAGAAAGCCACGGCUAACUACGUG
rnacentral:rRNA from 1 species